rnacentral:rRNA from 1 species
AACGAACGCUGGCGGCAUGCCUAAUACAUGCAAGUCGAACGAGACCUUUGGGUCUAGUGGCGCACGGGUGCGUAACGCGUGGGAAUCUGCCCUUGGGUUCGGAAUAACAGUGAGAAAUUGCUGCUAAUACCGGAUGAUGUCUUCGGACCAAAGAUUUAUCGCCCAGGGAUGAGCCCGCGUAGGAUUAGCUAGUUGGUGGGGUAAUGGCCUACCAAGGCGACGAUCCUUAGCUGGUCUGAGAGGAUGAUCAGCCACACUGGGACUGAGACACGGCCCAGACUCCUACGGGAGGCAGCAGUGGGGAAUAUUGGACAAUGGGCGCAAGCCUGAUCCAGCAAUGCCGCGUGAGUGAUGAAGGCCUUAGGGUUGUAAAGCUCUUUUACCAGGGAUGAUAAUGACAGUACCUGGAGAAUAAGCUCCGGCUAACUCCGUG